rnacentral:rRNA from 1 species
UACAGAGACCCCGAGCAUUAUCCGGAUUUAUUGGGCGUAAAGCGUUCGUAGGCGGCUUUGUAAGUCAUCUGUUAAAUCUUCAGGCUCAACCUGGAGGCUGCGGGUGAUACUGUAAGGCUCGAGUAUGGGAGAGGUAUAUGGAAUGCCCGGUGUAGCGGUAAAAUGCGUUAAUAUCGGGUAGAACACCAAAGGCGAAAGCAAUAUACUGGAACAUUACUGACGCUCAUGAACGAAAGCGUGGGUAGCGAAAGGG